rnacentral:lncRNA from 1 species
CCCAAGUUGUUUUCGAUGAUGGAACUUACAAAUCGACAAUCGGCUCUGUUAGAUUUUAUCUAGUAUAUUUGAAAUAUUUAGAAAAUAAAUUUUGUAGAUUUUUAAUAUUAUUUAUCUAGCGAUCGAAGAAUUCAAAAUCAAUAAUUUUUAAUAGUUAAUAUGCCCCGUUUGUAAGUUUAACGGUGUAGAAAUAUUCAAAUCAGACGAAAUUUUGAUAAAAAAAUUUUUAU